UUGUAUGUUGUUGCUUGCAAGGGGCUCAAAAAUGAUGGUGGAUGAUGGAACGACUAACCAAGGCUCGUGCUCUUUGAAGGUUUUCAACCAAAAGUUCAAAUGAGCAAAAGUGAGAAUUUAAGAGAGAGUGAAAUUUUUGAUCUGUUUGCAAGGUGUGGCUAGGGUUUUUGCAGAUUGGAAAUGUGAAAUAUAUACUCUGUUUAAUGUUUGUUUAAG
rnacentral:lncRNA from 1 species